rnacentral:rRNA from 1 species
GACGAACGCUGGCGGCGUGCUUAACACAUGCAAGUCGAACGGAGCACCCUUGAUUGAGGUUUCGGCCAAAUGAUAGGAAUGCUUAGUGGCGGACUGGUGAGUAACGCGUGAGGAACCUGCCUUUCAGAGGGGGACAACAGUUGGAAACGACUGCUAAUACCGCAUGACGCAUUUUGAUCGCAUGGUCGAAGUGCCAAAGAUUUAUCGCUGAAAGAUGGCCUCGCGUCUGAUUAGCUAGUUGGUGAGGUAACGGCCCACCAAGGCGACGAUCAGUGGCCGUACUGAGAGAUUGACCGGCCACAUUGGGACUGAGAUACGGCCCAGACUCCUACGGGAGGCAGCAGUGGGGAAUAUUGGGCAAUGGGCGCAAGCCUGACCCAGCAACGCCGCGUGAAGGAAGAAGGCUUUCGGGUUGUAAACUUCUUUUAAGUGGGAAGAGUAGAAGACGGUACCACUUGAAUAAGCCACGGCUAACUACGUGCCAGCCGCCGCCGUAA